GCCCGAGUGGCGGAAUUGGCAGACGCGACGGACUCAAAAUCCGUUUCCCGCAAGGGAGUGUGGGUUCGAACCCCACCUCGGGUACCA
rnacentral:tRNA from 1 species